rnacentral:rRNA from 1 species
AACAUAGAGCUAAUACAUGCAAAUACUCGUUUCUGCAAGGAGAUGAGGCACUUAUUAGAUUACAAAAGCCAAUAACAUGUAAAAGUGUUUUAAAAAUGGUGAUUCAUAGUAAGGUUGGAAAUCGUAUGGGAGCAAUCCUGACGAUGUAUCAUUCAAAUUUCUGCCCUAUCAACUUUGGAUGGUAGUAUAGAGGACUACCAUGGUGAUAACGGGUAACGGAGAAUUAGGGUUUGAUUCCGGAGAGGGAGCCUGAGAAAUGGCUACCACUUCUAAGGAGGGCAGCAGGCGCGCAAAUUACCCAAUCCUAAUACAGGGAGGUAGUGACAAUAAAUAACAAUGUAGGGAUUCAAAAUCUUUACAAUUGGAAUGAGAACAAUUUAAACCCCUUAACGAGUAACAAUUAGAGGGCAAGUCUGGUGCCAGCAGCCGCGGUAAUUCCAGCUCUAAUAGCGUAUAU